rnacentral:rRNA from 1 species
GAGUUUGAUCCUGGCUCAGAUUGAACGCUGGCGGAAUGCUUUACACAUGCAAGUCGAGCGGCAGCGCGGGGCAACCUGGCGGCGAGCGGCGAACGGGUGAGUAAUGCAUCGGAACAUGUCCAUGUCGUGGGGGAUAGCCCGGCGAAAGCCGGAUUAAUACCGCAUGUGCCCGAGAGGGGAAAGUGGGGGACCGCAAGGCCUCACGCGACUGGGUUGGCCGAUGUCCGAUUAGCUAGUUGGCGGGGUAAGAGCCCACCAAGGCGAUGAUCGGUAGCUGGUCUGAGAGGAUGAUCAGCCACACUGGGACUGAGACACGGCCCAGACUCCUACGGGAGGCAGCAGUGGGGAAUUUUGGACAAUGGGGGCAACCCUGAUCCAGCCAUUCCGCGUGAGUGAAGAAGGCCUUCGGGUUGUAAAGCUCUUUUGUCCGGAACGAAACGGUUGGCGUGAAUAUCGCCGACUACUGACGGUACCGGAAGAAUAAGCACCGGCUAACUACGUGCCAGCAGCCGCGGUAAUACGUAGGGUGCGAGCGUUAAUCGGAAUUACUGGGCGUAAAGGGAGCGCAGGCGGGUUGGUAAGUCGGUGGUGAAAUUCUCAGGCUUAACCUGGGGACUGCCACCGAUACUGCUAAUCUUGAGUGCAGAAGAGGUUGAUGGAAUUCUUGGUGUAGCGGUGAAAUGCGUAGAUAUCAAGAAGAACACCGAUGGCGAAGGCAGUCAACUGGUCUGUUACUGACGCUCAUGCUCGAAAGCGUGGGGAUCAAACAGGAUUAGAUACCCUGGUAGUCCACGCCCUAAACGAUGGAUACUCGAUGUCAGACCGCAAGGUUUGGUGUCCAAGCCAACGCAUUAAGUAUCCCACCUGGGAAGUACGAUCGCAAGGUUGAAACUCAAAGGAGUUGACGGGGGCCCGCACAAGCAGUGGAGCAUGUGGUUUAAUUCGAUGCAACGCGAAGAACCUUACCUGGGUUUGAAAGGCAAGUGACAGGCGAUGAAAGUCGCCCUCGUAGCAAUACGCACUUGUACAGGUGCUGCAUGGCUGUCGUCAGCUCGUGCCGUGAGGUGUUAGGUUAAGUCCUGCAGCGAGCGCAACCCCUGCACUUAGUUGCCAUCAGGUCAAGCUGGGCACUCUAAGUGGACUGCCUACGCAAGUAGUGAGGAAGGUGGGGAUGACGUCAAGUCCUCAUGGCCCUUACGGGCUGGGCUACACACGUGCUACAAUGGCGGUGACAAUGGGAUGCUAAGGGGCGACCCUUCGCAAAUCUCAAAAAGCCGUCUCAGUUCGGAUUGUGCUCUGCAACUCGAGCACAUGAAGUUGGAAUCGCUAGUAAUCGCAGAUCAGCACGCUGCGGUGAAUACGUUCCCGGGCCUUGCACACAC